rnacentral:rRNA from 1 species
AAUAUUACAUAAUGUAAUUUUGAGAUUAAUUUUUAAUUUAUUAAAUUAAAAGAUUUUGGCGGUAUUUUAAUCUUUUUAGAGGAAUUUAUUCUUUAAUGGAUGCAACACACAAAUCUUACUUAAUUUAGUUAAGUCAGCUUGUAUAUCGCUAUCAUUAUGUUAUAUUGAUUAAUAAUUGUAGAAAAAAAAAGUUAAUUAAAAUGUUAGGUCAAAAUGCAGCAUAAAAUUGAGUUUGAAAUAAAUUACAGUAAUUUUUAUUUAAAAUAUUUGAAAAUGAUAAAUAGGAUUUAAAAGUAAAUUUUUAUUAUUAUGAUAAAUUGAAAUAAGUUCUAAAAUAUGCAC